AACGAACGCUGGCGGCAGGCUUAACACAUGCAAGUCGAGCGCCCCGCAAGGGGAGCGGCAGACGGGUGAGUAACGCGUGGGAAUCUACCCAUCCCUACGGAAUAGCUCCGGGAAACUGGAAUUAAUACCGUAUACGCCCUACGGGGGAAAGAUUUAUCGGGGAUGGAUGAGCCCGCGUUGGAUUAGCUAGUUGGUGGGGUAAAGGCCUACCAAGGCGACGAUCCAUAGCUGGUCUGUGAGGAUGAUCAGCCACAUUGGGACUGAGACACGGCCCAAUCUCCUACGUGAGGCAGCAGUGGGGAAUAUUGGACAAUGGGGGCAACCCUGAGCCAGCCAUGCCGCGUGAGUGAUGAAGGCCUUAGGGUUGUAAAGCUCUUUCACCGGGGAAGAUAAUGACGGUACCCGGAGAAGAAGCCCCGGCUAACUUCGUGCCAGCCGCCGCUGUAA
rnacentral:rRNA from 1 species